rnacentral:rRNA from 1 species
UGAGCAAUCUGCCCUUCUCAUCGGAAUAAGCGUUGGAAACGACGUCUAAUGCCGAAUACGACCUCCUUUCGCAUGAUCGGAGGUGGAAAGCUCCGGCGGAGAAGGAUGAGCC